CCUACGGGAGGCAGCAGUGGGGAAUAUUGGACAAUGGGGGGAACCCUGAUCCAGCCAUGCCGCGUGUGUGAAGAAGGCCUUAUGGUUGUAAAGCACUUUAAGCGAGGAGGAGGCUCUUUUGGUUAAUACCCAAGAUGAGUGGACGUUACUCGCAGAAUAAGCACCGGCUAACUCUGUGCCAGCAGCCGCGGUAAU
rnacentral:rRNA from 1 species